rnacentral:rRNA from 1 species
AGAGUUUGAUCAUGGCUCAGGAUGAACGCUAGCUACAGGCUUAACACAUGCAAGUCGAGGGGCAGCAUGUUGGUUGCUUGCAACCAAUGAUGGCGACCGGCGCACGGGUGAGUAACGCGUAUCCAACCUACCCUUGUCCAUCGGAUAACCCGUCGAAAGGCGGCCUAACACGAUAUGCGGUUCUCAGCAGGCAUCUAACGAGAACGAAAUGUGAAGGAGAAGGAUGGGGAUGCGUCUGAUUAGCUUGUUGGCGGGUAACGCCACAAGGCGACGAUCAGUAGGGGUUCUGAGAGGAAGGUCCCCCANAUUGGAACUGAGACACGGUCCAAACGUCCUACGGGAGGCA